AUGUUUUCAUUGGUAGAAAUGCGCAUUGGUGGCUUUACAGGUACUUAUGCAAGUGCAUGUGAACUAACUGAUAGAAAGAAGGUUUCUCCCGGUACCCAACCAAUUAGCCUUCGUACAUUCUCGUCAAAGGGCACAACCCACGUGUUUUCUUCAUCUCAUAGACCAACUAUUAUCUACAGUCGCAAUAAGUUGUUGUACAACAAUGUCAAUCUGAAAGAAGUUAAUCACAUGUGUCCUUUUAAUACAGCUGCUUUUCCUGACAGGUCUCUCUCUCUCUCUCUCUCUCUCUCUCUCUGGAAUGACUCUUUUUUCAGUUUAGUACUUUCCAUAUUUAGCCCUUAA
rnacentral:rRNA from 1 species